rnacentral:tmRNA from 1 species
GGGGACGACAGGCUUCGACGUGGUCGGAUCCGCUGGGGUGAUUGCGAGCCGAGGUCCCGGAGGCCUCGAUAAACACCGGGAAAACCAUACGUGCGGACUCUCACGAGUACGCCCUCGCUUCCUAGCACCAACCUAGGCAUGUGAGGUUCCGGCCCCCGCCCGCCGACCGCGGGGUCGCCGGAAUCAGAUACGUCGGCUGACCCGGGGAGCUCCGCUCCUGGCGAUCCGGGGACAUCUCAGGGGGCUGGUCCCGGGGAACCCUGCCGGUGCGGUGACCCCGGGGCGAGAUCUGAGCACCGGAUACGCUCGUAGACGUCACCCCCGCGCGACUGCGGACGCGGGUUCAAUUCCCGCCGUCUCCACUG